CAGCUUACAAAGGGCACAGCUGGCAAAAACAAUGUUUGAAACAGUCUCUUAUCUCCCUUAGGAAAGACAGAACUGUAUAGAAUGCAAGAGGUGUGCCAAAAAACACAGAUUCCAGAAUCAAAUUGUAUCAUCAUUGUUGUCUCUUUUAGACUUUAUUAGCAAUGUUUUAAUAGAUUUUCUUAUGCUGCUGCUCUUAAAUACUCCUGCAAUCUGUAUUGUGUACAUAAGGUCAGAAGAGCUUUACUCAGCAAAAGGGUAACAAUGACACUUUGUGUUUUGAGAAUUUAAUUGAAUACUCACAGUUACUCACAGUUUCUCUGCUUUUCAUUUAAGAAGAAAUAUUACAAAUCAAAAUUAAUUUGCUUGCCAAAUGGGUGUGAUGAUUAUUUUAUUUUCUGUCCACUACACAGGUCUGAUCCUGAAAAAAGGGAAAUGUCUAGGAUGCUUAUAGGUAUGUAAGUAUUGCAGUUACUUAAACUGAACUGCAAACUGAACAAACGGAACUGUUUGCCCCUGCAAACACUAACAACAUUUAAUCUGACUUUCAGUGUAUGAAAGGGAGCAUGAAAUCUGAAAGAUCUAAGUUGGUGUACUGGCUUCAGCAGCAUCUUAUUGUCAGUUUUGACAAGCAUGAAUUUAGAAGCUACAGUAGAGACUAAGAAGAUGGAAAAUUUAGCAAAGAGGAUAUGCAAACAGGGCAUGUGCACAAUGAUAUUCCCUUCCAUUACAGUCUGCCCAGUUAUCCAAUUAUCAUUGGAUAAUGAGCGGCAGUUCACCAAAAAUUAUGCUGAGGAAGUAGAAGAUUUUUAA
rnacentral:lncRNA from 1 species